ACACGCAUGACACACUGCAUAUCAAUAAGCGGAGGAAAAGAAACUAACAAGGAUUCCCUUAGUAACGGCGAGUGAAGCGGGAAGAGCUCAAAUUUGAAAUCUUCAAGGUUUUACCUUGACGAAUUGUAGUUUAUAGAAGUGUAUUCUGUUAGUAGAGUGGCAGAAGUUCUUUGGAAUAGGACAUCAUAGAGGGUGAGAAUCCCGUAUUUGGUCAUUCUUUCUAGCUUUGUGAUACACUUUCAACGAGUCGGAUUGUUUGGGAAUGCAGUCCAAAAUGGGUGGUAAAUUUCAUCUAAAGCUAAAUAUUGGCGAGAGACCGAUAGCGAACAAGUACCGUGAGGGAAAGAUGAAAAGAACUUUGAAAAGAGAGUUAAACAGUACGUGAAAUUGUCAAAAGGGAAGCGUUUGACACCAGUGUUGUUUUUCCGAAAAUCAAUUACGAAUGUUUUGUUUUUAAGAAGUUAUGACUUCAUCGGCUUGCUUCUUUCUUUAUGAAACUUUCUUAAUGCACUUUUCGGUUAACAAGUCAACAUCAAUUUCUUUUGUUGUAAAAGGGUAUGAGGAAGGUGGCUUUCUCUUCGGAGAAAGUGUUUAUAGCCUUGUGCCUCUGCAAUCGGAGAGAUUGAGGUCUGCAGCGUAGAUCCUUCGGGGUUAGAUACGUUUGUGCUAAGUUAUAGCUUUUCAUAGACAACUUGUUGACUAUGUUUAGUCUUGUAGCUUACUCGCUGACGCUAUUUUACCUACGCUUAGGAUGUUGAUCUACAGAGCGAGAGU
rnacentral:rRNA from 1 species